UACAGAGGUCUCAAGCGUUGUUCGGAAUCAUUGGGCGUAAAGGGUGCGUAGGCGGGCGCGUCAGUCAGGGGUGAAAUCCCACGGCCCAACCGUGGAAGUGCCUCUGAUACUGCAUGCCUGGAGGGGGAUAGGGGCGUGCGGAACUUCCGGUGGAGCGGUGAAAUGCGUAGAUAUCGGAAGGAACACCGGUGGCGAAAGCGGCGCGCUGGAUCCCUACUGACGCUGAGGCACGAAAGCCAGGGGAGCAAACGGG
rnacentral:rRNA from 1 species